UGGCGACCGGCGCACGGGUGAGUAACACGUAUCCAACCUGCCGUCUACUCUUGGACAGCCUUCUGAAAGAAAGAUUAAUACCCGAUGGCAUAGUUCUUCCGCAUGGUAGAACUAUUAAAGAAUUUCGGUCAUCGAUGGGGAUGCGUUCCAUUAGGUUGUUGGCGGGGUAACGGCCCACCAAGCCUUCGAUGGAUAGGGGUUCUGAGAGGAAGGUCCCCCACAUUGGAACUGAGACACGGUCCAA
rnacentral:rRNA from 1 species